AGAGGGUGCAAGCGUUAAUCGGAAUUACUGGGCGUAAAGCGCACGUAGGUGGAUAUUUAAGUCGGGUGUGAAAGCCCCGGGCUCAACCUGGGAACUGCAUUCGAUACUGAGUAUCUAGAGUAUGGUAGAGGGAAGUGGAAUUUCCGGUGUAGCGGUGAAAUGCGUAGAUAUCGGAAGGAACACCAGUGGCGAAGGCGGCUUCCUGGACCAAUACUGACACUGAGGUGCGAAAGCGUGGGGAGCAAACAGGGAUUAGAUACCCUGGUAGUCCACGCCGUCAACGAUGAGAACUAGACGUUGGGAGGUGCGCCUCUUAGUGUCGAAGCUAACGCGUUAAGUUCUCCGCCUGGGGAGUACGGUCGCAAGAUUA
rnacentral:rRNA from 1 species